rfam:Macrostomum lignano uti_cns_0047243, whole genome shotgun sequence.
AAAACGGCCCUUUUUAGGGCCAUAAACAGAAUUUCGCGCACUCAC